rnacentral:rRNA from 1 species
CAGCCGCCGCGGUAAUACCGGCGGCCCGAGUGGCGGCCACUAUUAUUGGGCUUAAAGCGUCCGUAGCCGGGUUGGUUAGUCUCCCGGGAAAUCUGGCCGCUUAACGGUCAGAAUUCCGGGAGAUACUGCCAGCCCAGGGACCGGGAGAGGCCGAGGGUAUUCCCGGAGUAGGGGUGAAAUCCUAUAAUCCCGGGAGGACCACCUGUGGCGAAGGCGCUCGGCUGGAACGGGUCCGACGGUGAGGGACGAAGGCCAGGGGAGCAAACCGGAUUAGAUACCCGGGUAGUCCUGGCUGUAAACGAUGCGGACUUUGUGUCGGACAAGCUAUGAGCUUGUCCGGUGCCGGAGGGAAACCGUUAAGUCCGCCGCCUGGGGAGUACGGCCGCAAGGCUGAAACUUAAAGGAAUUGGCGGG